AUUGAACGCUGGCGGCAGGCCUAACACAUGCAAGUCGAACGAGUGGCGGACGGGUGAGUAAUGUCUGGGAAACUGCCUGAUGGAGGGGGAUAACUACUGGAAACGGUAGCUAAUACCGCAUACCAUCGGAUGUGCCCAGAUGGGAUUAGCUAGUAGGUGGGGUAAAGGCUCACCUAGGCGACGAUCCCUAGCUGGUCUGAGAGGAUGACCAGUCAGCAUGGUUAUGUGAGAAGGUCCAGAUUCCUACGGGAGGCAGCAGUGGGGAACAGUGAAAAAUGGGCUAAAGCCUGAUGCAGCCAUGCCGCGUGUAUGAAGAAGGCCUUCGGGUUGUAAAGUACUUCCAGCGGGGAGGCGUUACCCGCAGAAGAAUCACCGGCUAACUCCGUGCCAGCAGCCGCGGUAAUUC
rnacentral:rRNA from 1 species